CCAAGUCACCUUUGGAAAAUCCUUUUCAAAAUUGUUUUGACUCUUUUAAAACUGGUUUGCGAACAGAGAUUCCAGCUAAGGAAUUUUGUUGACCGAGGGAAAGGUGUUAGGCACCCCUCGAUCCCGUGGUUCGACCACGGUCGCUUGGUGGAGCGUAUCGGCUAAUUCGACACUAUGAAUGUACAAACCACACAAAAACACGAAAAACAAGCAAACAAACAGACAAAACAAAAUGAAUCUAAAUAUAGUGUCCAGUCCAAUUUAUACAGUCCAAAAUAGAAAAAUGCUAAGAUAAAUCCUAUCUAACCUAUACUAAUACUAACUACGCUCCUGCGCUUUACCUGACGCCUCUGGCCUUCCUCUCAAAUUCCUUCCACCAACAUAGUACGUCGGGGCAUUCCCCAGUAAACAAAUACAAUUCCUUUGGGGCAUUCCCCGACAAAUGAAUACAAUGUCAAUUUCAUGCGAUAAACUAGGAAACAUCCAACAAAUAUUCCCAACAUUCCAACAAUCCACCAAUUCUAAAUUUUUCCUACCCGAGCCUAUUUUUUGCCUACCUGCUCGAUGACAUAUAACGUUCAACAUCAACAAUGAAUCAAAAUACCAUAAUAUUCACUUUUAUCAAUUUUUGAUUUUCAACCCAAAUCCAUUCUAAACGCCACAAAUAGCAAUCACUAUUUCACAAUCCAUGCUCAUUUUAGUAACGAAUUUAAAUAACAAAACCAUAUCAAUGAAAUCAAGUCAUCAUAAUCAACCAACAUGUAACCAUAGCUAAUGCAACCAAUCAAAAUGAAUAAGAAAAUGGGUUAAAGAAAUGGACCUCAAUAGAAUGUUCUCGUAGAUAAUAAAGAAGUCCGAGACCGAAAUCCUCCAAAAUGGAACCCCAAAGAUGAACACACCAAAUCAAUAAUCCAAGAGUACCAACUGGUCCGAUUUCAACCAAGAAUAAAAACCCAAAACAGGAACAAAAUCGAUGAAUCCCCAAAGCUCGAUCCCGGCGACAGAAUACAAAAUCAGACAAACCCAAAAAACCCCAAUGCGCAGUAUCGAAAAUGAACCGCAAAGAAGACGAACUCGAAGCCUCAGAAAUGCCGUAGAAAGACUAAAAAAACGUAGCUUAAGCUCCGAUGAGCUAACACGAAGGUAAAGAACGACAAUCCGAGACGAUUUCCAAUGAACCUUAUUGUUUUCCGACCGGAUCCAACUCAGAAAUCAAAGAGGAAUAGAGGGAUUUUAGGAUGUAUUCGUAUCAUAGUGGAUUUUUAGCCCGUAGAAACAGAAAAUGACCAAAUCAGUCCCUUUGGUGACGAGUUCACCUAAAAGUGCUAACCCGCAGUGCCUCUCGAUCUAGUUUUUCUCUUCCUUCGCUACUCUCCACCUCUCUCUCUAUUCGAUGUGUGUGUGUGCGAGAUUUUUUAGUGUAUUAUAUGGGUGUACAGUGGUGAAUCAAAGAGAAUCAAGUGAUUGAGUAUCUCCUUUUUCGUUUUAUCCCUGAUGUGUGUGUAUUGAUGUAUGAAGAAAAGGGUAUGUCUGUUCAAUCAUGUUGCUGGGCAGAAAAUUUUUUGUGUAUGGGUGGGUAUUCUGGGAAGGUCUUGUAUGCAUAUGGGCUCCGUGAGUGUAUGUGAGGUGUCUUA
rnacentral:lncRNA from 1 species